CAUGCUUUUCCCACCUCCGUGUUAGAUGCGGGACAGUUUGUGUGUAUGUGUCUCAUAGUCUCAUAUUCUCUUGACAUCACAGCACUUUUGAACUUUGUGCUCUUUAGGAGGAGCAGGCCAACACCCACCUGACCAGGUACAGGAAGGUUCAACAUGAGAUGGAGGAGGCUCAGGAACGGGCCGACAUUGCCGAGUCGCAGGUCAACAAGCUGCGGGCCAAGAGUCGUGACUUUGCCAGGGGCAAGGAUGCUGAAGAAUGAACAUCAGUCACAAUAAGACACUGCAAGAAAUCAUAAAAUAUGAUCUUUUUGUUGUCUGAUGUGACAAGUGUGUAACAAAAUAAAGCUCCCAGCAAUCGUAUGA